rnacentral:rRNA from 1 species
AACUUUCAACAACGGAUCUCUAGGCUCUCGCAUCGAUGAAGAACGCAGCGAAAUGCGAUAAGUAAUGUGAAUUGCAGAAUUCAGUGAAUCAUCGAAUCUUUGAACGCACCUUGCACCUUUUGGUAUUCCGAAAGGUAUGCCUGUUUGAGUGUCUU